rnacentral:piRNA from 2 species
GGUGGUCUAGUGGUUAGGAUUCG